AAGCUCUUCCUCCUCUCUUUCAAUUGUGCCUUGAUUUCUAAUCGUUCUUCUCACCCUUUCUCCAGAACCCUAAUCGUCUCUCCCAAUUCCCAUCUCGCUGCGUUCUCCAAAGGAACGCUUACUAGUCUACCACUGGCUCAGUGACCACUGAAAUUGCUCAAAUGAAGACUUCUUCGGUCUCGAUCGCUUACGAUUCCUUUGUGUCACCGACAAGUACUAUCCUGGUUUUUCAUGGCAGUGCUUGCUCUGACGCAAGUGCAAGGAAUUGAAGGGACAGAUCAGAGAUGCGCUUUAUCUGUUAAGAAAGAAGCUAUGGCUCUAAGAAAAUAAAUUUGAGAAGCACUUCACUUCUGCUGUGGAUAAUGAGUGUCAUGUCAGGGGAUUUUGCUAUUUGAAUCAUGUAUAUUUGGAGUAUUGCUUUCACUAAGUAAAAUGAUUAUUUUGAGGUGCUAUUGUGACUACUGCGAGAGUGAGACCAGAUGGCUUGGUCUUCACUACUGCUUACGAUUUAAUCGUCGAGGAGAGAAGCAGGUCUUUCGGAAGCACUGGGUUGAGGUUGCCUUACUCUCUCCUUGAUUCACUAGCAGGUACCAACACCGGAGAGGGGAUGAAGCAUCGCUUUCCCUAUUGAGAUAGGGCAAUCUGCAUACUGGCUCACAGCCCCAAAGGUUCUGCUCUUAUUAAAAGAGUGUGGUAGGAGAAGGUCCCUGGAUAACCAAAGUUCAGAGUUUUUAAGAUCAACCCCAUUGAGCUCUUCCCAGCACCUUUUCUUGGAUAUGCAGCAGGUUAUCAAUGAGUAGAGAGAUGACCAUUUUAUCAUUGAGAAGGUCCAAAAGAGGGUGAGGGAAGGCAAGUGACAGCAACUAAUGGACUGAUACUUCAUAGAGAAAUGACAUAUAUAAGAAGGGAUAGAAAUAAAAAGCAUGAAAUGAAUAUCUAUAAAAAAAACUAGCUAAAGGAAUACUAUAGCUCUGGCUUGGUUAUUGACAUUGUUCUAUUGUGUUCUAUUGUUCUAUUGUGUUCUAAAGGAAUACUAAAGCUCUGACUUGGUUUAAGGUUGGCUCUACUGUUUAGCUUAUUUAGUGUCUUCUAUGUUAAUUCAUAAUCCAGUUGUUUUGUGUUCUUUAUCCA